rnacentral:rRNA from 1 species
UACGAAGGGGGCUAGCGUUGCUCGGAAUCACUGGGCGUAAAGGGCGCGUAGGCGGUCUUUUAAGUCGGGGGUGAAAGCCUGUGGCUCAACCACAGAAUUGCCUUCGAUACUGGAAGACUUGAGUUCGGAAGAGGUUGGUGGAACUGCGAGUGUAGAGGUGAAAUUCGUAGAUAUUCGCAAGAACACCGGUGGCGAAGGCGGCCAACUGGUCCGACACUGACGCUGAGGCGCGAAAGCGUGGGGAGCAAACAGG